GUAUAGGAUCUACCUAGUAGUACGGAAUAAUUGUUGGAAACGGCAACUAAUACCCUAUACGCCCUACGGGGGAAAAAUUUAUUGCUAUUAGAUGAGCCUAUAUUAGAUUAGCUAGUUGGUGGAGUAAUAGCCUACCAAGGCAAUGAUCUAUAGCUGAUCUGAGAGGAUGAUCAGCCACACUGGAACUGAGAUACGGUCCAGACUCCUACGGGAGGCAGCAGUGGGGAAUAUUGGACAAUGGGCGAAAGCCUGAUCCAGCCAUGCCGCAUGAGUGAAGAAGGCCUUUGGGUUGUAAAGCUCUUUUAA
rnacentral:rRNA from 1 species